AGAGCUUAUAGGGUCUUUUCUUUCCUCUCCUGUGCUGGCUCUGGAUUCCUGCUUGAAUGUGAGCCGCUGAUAACGGGACGAAUUUCAGCUUUCGUUAUUACAUUUCAUCCACAUUAUUCAUUUUGCCAAAAUCUUUUAGAAAAAAUCUUUAGAGCAAAUUGCAGGAGACACCAGAGUUUGCUGAAUCAUAAUGGAAUGGCGAAUCCAUUGUGAAAUGCUGAGACAUCAGAUUGAAGGAAAUUGACAAACCCUAAGCAGUUCUUAUAUGGAAGAAGAUGCAUUUUUUAAGGGAGAUUAGAGAAGCCACACUGCGGAGAAGCAGCAGUAGGUUCCCCUUGUGUGACUGAUUUCACCUUUAAUCCCACCAUUGAUUGAGUAUUGCUAAGCAGACUGCCACGUAUUUGAAGGUUUGCCUGAUGAAGGAUGCCCCAGGAAAAAGCAAGCUAUUUGCACAAAAAGUUGAUUUGUGAUAUAAUUAAUUCAACCCCACCGAGCCUGCUGGAUAUCAGCCGAAUUUGGGCGUCUGGAGAGUCAUUCCAUUUCCUGAAGAGUUGGAAAGUGAGUCAAAUCCUUCAAGCACAACCUUAUAGUCAGGAUCAGCAUCUCCCAUCGCACCGUACUUGCGAAUUUGCUCAUCCAGAAUGCACGCGGAAUAUGAUUUGUACAGCUUUUAAAGGAGACUUGAGUUAGUUCAUACAAUCAGAAGAAUGAAGGGUGUUUUUUUUUCCUGAUCUGAACUACUUCAAGCCACAGGCAAUAGUCUGCAAGAAGUGGGUCUGGAAGAGAAAGAGAUGACUUCAUUGCAGAAUCUGGUGACCCAAGACUAACAUUUUAAAGAAGGGAGAAGAGCCCAUGUUGUCGUCUUGAGGAAAACAAGAAAUCCUCCAAAAUUACUGCCCCGUUGCAUAAUUCCCAUGCAUAUGGCAAAGACGGGUGUCUUAUUAAAACGCUCAACUACUAGCCAACUUUCCCCUCCCCGGCUUCAGUUUGAAAUUAAUUAUUUUAAUACAGAAUUCCUGAAUGAAA